rnacentral:snoRNA from 10 species
AAGACUGUAUUUUCAGGGAUCAUGUCUAUAGGUCAUUUCUAGAGAAGCUUCUCUGAACAUUUAGGGCACAGGAAACCACGAGGAGGCGCAGCAUUCUCUCCUGAGCAUGGAACCGGUGUUGCUUCACUGCAACUGGCCGUUCAUUUGCUCUUGGUGAUCAUUCCUCUCUUCCUUUGGGAGAGGAAUAGGGAGAGGACACAGUCGAGG